AGAGAUGUGUGAUGACGCAUAUCAAUAAGCGGAGGAAAAGAAACUAACAAGGAUUCCCUUAGUAACGGCGAGUGAAGCGGGAAGAGCUCAAAUUUGAAAUCUUCAAGGUUCUACCUUGACGAAUUGUAGUUUAUAGAAGUGUUUUCUGUUAGUGGAGUGGCAAAAGUUCUUUGGAAUAGGACAUCAUAGAGGGUGAGAAUCCCGUAUUUGGUCAUUCCUCCUAGCGUUGUGAUACACUUUCAACGAGUCGGAUUGUUUGGGAAUGCAGUCCAAAAUGGGUGGUAAAUUUCAUCUAAAGCUAAAUAUUGGCGAGAGACCGAUAGCGAACAAGUACCGUGAGGGAAAGAUGAAAAGAACUUUGAAAAGAGAGUUAAACAGUACGUGAAAUUGUCAAAAGGGAAGCGUUUGACACCAGUGUUGUUUUCUCGAAAAUCAAUUAAAAAUGGUAGGGAUGUUGUGUUGUAUUGACUUUAUCAGCUUUCUGCACUUUUUUCCUAUCUUUUUUAAUGCACUUUUCGUUUAACAAGUCAACAUCAAUUUCUUUUGUUGUAAAGAGUCAUUGGAAGGUGGCUUUCUUUUCGGAGAAAGUGUUUAUAGCCUUUGGCUUCUGCAAUCGGAGAGAUUGAGGUCUGCAGCGUAGAUCCUUCGGGGUUAGAUGCAUUUGUGCUAAGUUAUAGCCUUUCAUAGACAACUUGUUGACUAUGAUCAGUCAUGUAGCUUACUCGCUUAUGUCAUUUUACCUACGCUUAGGAUGUUGACGCAUGAGAUAUACGC
rnacentral:rRNA from 1 species